rnacentral:misc_RNA from 1 species
GUGAGUCAUCGAAUCUUUGAACGCAUAUUGCGCUCGAGCCCUCGGGCAAGAGCAUGUCUGCCUCAGCGUCGGUUUACACCCUCACCCCUCCCAACUUGUUGGGCGUGUUUGCUCUGUUUGCAAGCCAUUGGGGUGGAUCUGGCUUCCCCAAUCAUGUCCGUUUCACUGCGGCAGAUUGGGCUGGCUGAAGUGCAGAGGCUUAAGCAAGGACCCGAUAUGGGCUUCAACUGGAUAGGUAGCACCGGCUCUUGCCGACUACACGAAGUUGUUGCUUGUGGAUCUUGCUAGGAGCCAAGCAGG